GGAGAGGUGCCAGAGUGGCUGAAUGGGGCGGUCUCGAAAACCGUUGUGGCCUUCCGGGUCACCGUGGGUUCAAAUCCCACCCUCUCCGCCA
rnacentral:tRNA from 3 species